UGAGGUCGGUCGCAUGACACAAAAUAAAAAGAAUUGACGGGGGCCCGCACAAGCGAUCGAGCAUUUUGUUUAAUUGGAAGCAACGAGAAGAACCUUACCAGGUCUUGACAUCCUCUGACAACUCUAGAGAUAGAGCGUUCCCCUUCGGGGGACAGAGUGACAGGUGGUGCAUGGUUGUCGUCAGCUCGUGUCGUGAGAUGUUGGGUUAAGUCCCGCAACGAGCGCAACCCUUGAUCUUAGUUGCCAGCAUUUAGUUGGGCACUUUAAGGUGACUGCCGGUGACAAACCGGAGGAAGGUGGGGAUGACGUCAAAUCAUCAUGCCCCUUAUGACCUGGGCUACACACGUGCUACAAUGGAUGGUACAAAGGGCUGCAAGACCGCGAGGUCAAGCCAAUCCCAUAAAACCAUUCUCAGUUCGGAUUGUAGGCUGCAACUCGCCUACAUGAAGCUGGAAUCGCUAGUAAUCGCGGAUCAGCAUGCCGCGGUGAAUACGUUCCCGGGCCUUGUACACACCGCCCGUCACACCACGAGAGUUUGUAACACCCGAAGUCUAUAGAGUAACCGUAAGUAGGUAGCCGAUCUGGUAGGCGGCCAAAAAUUAG
rnacentral:rRNA from 2 species